rnacentral:rRNA from 1 species
GACGAACCGUGCGAACGUUAUUCGGAAUCACUGGGCUUAAAGCGCGUGUAGGCGGGACGGCACGUCGGUCGCUGAAAGCCCCCGGCUCAACCGGGGAACGGGCGCCGAUACGACCGGCCUGGAGGGACGUAGGGGGACCUGGAACUUCCGGUGGAGCGGUGAAAUGCGUUGAGAUCGGAAGGAACGCCCGUGGCGAAAGCGAGGUCCUGGACGUUUUCUGACGCUGAGACGCGAAAGCCAGGGAGAGCGAACGGG